GCUGGCGGCAGGCCUAACACAUGCAAGUCGAGCGGUAACAGAAGAAAGCUUGCUUUCUUUGCUGACGAGCGGCGGACGGGUGAGUAAUGCCUGGGAAUAUGCCUUAGUGUGGGGGAUAACUAUUGGAAACGAUAGCUAAUACCGCAUAACGUCUUCGGACCAAAGAGGGGGACCUUCGGGCCUCUCGCGCUAAGAUUAGCCCAGGUGGGAUUAGCUAGUUGGUGAGGUAAAGGCUCACCAAGGCAACGAUCCCUAGCUGGUCUGAGAGGAUGAUCAGCCACACUGGAACUGAGACACGGUCCAGACUCCUACGGGAGGCAGCAGUGGGGAAUAUUGCACAAUGGGGGGAACCCUGAUGCAGCCAUGCCGCGUGUAUGAAGAAGGCCUUCGGGUUGUAAAGUACUUUCAGUCGUGAGGAAGGCAUUGUAGUUAAUAGCUGCAGUGCUUGACGUUAGCGACAGAAGAAGCACCGGCUAACUCCGUG
rnacentral:rRNA from 1 species